rnacentral:lncRNA from 1 species
GAUAGAAAUGUUUAUGCUCCCACACAAUUCUGGUAAUCAAGCCAAUGAUAAUAUAUGAGAUGAUGUUGGUAUAAUAUAGUACAAACUCCUGAAAAUUGAAAAUUUUGAUUUUAUGAUACUAAAAUAUUACCAAACACAAUGAAUGAUAGCUAAAAGGGAAAACAACACAACAAAUAAUUCUUUCCGAUUUAAAAUUGAAGCUCAACACGAGAUCUAAGAUGGCAGAACAAUCGAACCCUAAUUGUCAGCAUGCAUGAAGUGAAGAAUAUGAUUCAUUUGCACCCUUUUCCUUCCACAUUUCAGGAUAAAUGUUGAAGCAAUGGUUGAGCUUAUUUGAAGAAUCAAUUAUAGAACAUUGAUAUUUUUCACAACUUGUCAACAAUUAUAGAUGAUUGUAUGAAAU